rnacentral:rRNA from 1 species
UACGUAGGAUGCAAGCGUUGUCCGGAAUUACUGGGCGUAAAGCGCGUGUAGGUGGUGGGACAAGUCUGCUGUGAAAGCGCCUGGCUUAACCGGGCGAGGUCGGCGGAAACUGUCCGACUAGAGGACGGUAGAGGGGGGUGGAAUUCCCGGUGUAGUGGUGAAAUGCGUAGAGAUCGGGAGGAACACCUGUGGCGAAGGCGGCCCCCUGGGCCGGCCCUGACACUGAGACGCGAAGGCGUGGGGAGCGAACGGG